rnacentral:rRNA from 1 species
AUUGAACGCUGGCGGCAGGCCUAACACAUGCAAGUCGAACGAGUGGCGGACGGGUGUGCAAUGUCUGGGAAACUGCCUGCUGGAGGGGGAUAACUACUGGAAACGGUAGCUAAUACCGCAUACCAUCAGAUGUGCCCCGAUGGGUUUAGCUUGUUGGUGGGGUAAAGGCUCACCAAGGCGACUAUCCCUGGCUGGUCUGCGUGGAUGACCAGCCACACUGGAAAUGAGACACGGGCCAGACUCCUACGGGAGGCAGGAGGGGGGAAUAUGGCACAAUGGGCGCAAGCCUGAUGCAGCCGUGCCGGGUGUAUGAAGAAGGCCUUCGGGUUGUAAAGUACUUUCAGCGGGGAGGCGUUACCCGCAGAAGAAGCACCGGCUAACUCCGUGCCAGCCGCCGCGGUAAUAC